GCGAAGGCUAGCAUGGGAAAGCUUCCUAGGUCUCCCAUCAUGGGAAAGUCAUGUCAACCGUUGGAUUAAAAAUGUUAUCAUGUACCAACUGCAUCUUAUACAUUUCUAUUUUUCUCUCUCUCUCAUUGUUGUGUUUCUCUUUCUCAGCUGUGUCUCAUGUUCAUUUCUUUCUUCUAUCUCACAGUCACAACCACAUACUCUUUAAUUACUUUCUUCAAACUAAUUAUUAUACACAAAUCUAUCAAUUUAAUCUCCUAUUAAUUUCAUUCAAAUUAGUAAGAAAAAAGAAAACCCUCAAACAAUUUGAUGGAUUUAUUUGGGUUAGAUAUGAA
rnacentral:lncRNA from 1 species